UACGGGGGGGGCAAGCGUUGUUCGGAAUUACUGGGCGUAAAGGGCUCGUAGGCGGCCAACUAAGUCAGACGUGAAAUCCCCAGGCUCAACCUGGGAACUGCGUCUGAUACUGGAUGGCUUGAAGUCCGGGAGAGGGAUGCAGAAUUCCAGGUGGUAGCGGUGAAAUGCGUAGAUAUCUGGAGGAAUACCGGUGGCGAAGGCGGCAUCCUGGACCGGCAUUGACGCUGAGGAGGCGGAAAGCCAGGGGAGCAAAGCGGG
rnacentral:rRNA from 1 species